UCGAAGAGGAGAGGUAUGCAUUGCGUAGCGUGCAUACGGUAGAAGCUCAACUCGUCUCGAUACGUAAUAACCUUUGAUUGAUAAAAAUUUGACCAGCAUAAUUCUUUCACAACAUGGUUGUGCACAUGCAUAUGUGCGGCUGAGAGAUCCGUGUAAAGCACUGCCCGACACUAGUCGGGCAGUGCGGUUCUAUAGAAAGAAGGGGCACGGUCACCGCCGAAUGCGUUUCUGGGUCUCUCUGCGGGCCUUGCGGCCACGUGACGCCGAAGAGUACGCAGCUCACGAUAGAAAUGUAGGAUACCGCCGGACUUAGAGAACGCAGUUGAUCUAAUUUCGCAAUCGAUUGCAAACGUCACUUUGGAAAGAUGAAAAAUUUAUGUAUAAUAAAAGAAGCAUUGUUGAAAGCGUCAAAGGAAGCAUCAAUCUUAGCAACGAAGUCACAAAAAUCGUCAAAGAUAAUAAUUGAUAUUGCCGUUGUUCUUAACGAAAUUUUAAAGAUUCAAAUUGAUAUAAAACGUUUUCUUGAGACAUCUGCCGUCAUUAAGAAAGGAAUUGCUUCGAUUGGUAAAUAAUUUUCCGAAAAGUAUGACGUUGAGUUCCCAAUGCGUACACUAGAAGACUUAAAUGUAUUCCAAGAUAAAUUAAAGGCAAACAAAAAGUGUUGUCAUGAUUUUUCAAUUACUAAGAGCGCUACCUAUAUAAUAAAGAAAAUAAUGGCACGUGAUUUGUCAUUAAGGUGCACAGCACAAAAAAGGUGUAAAACUUAAAGAUACUCUGAUGUACAUAGUUGACUCCCUCUUAAUGAUCUAUGAGAAAGAUGAGAAAGGCAUCACAUUUUCAAACACAUACGUUCAGCUGUGGGAAUUUGCUUGACUAAUUCUAAAGAUUGGGAUGGGUUUAGAGCUCAUCGAUCAAAUAAAACAAAGCUAGAAUGUGAAUAGUUCGAAUUUGAAUCGAAUUGAAUCGAAAUGGAUUUAAUUCGAUUCGUUUUCAAAUCUGAUUAAGCGGUUCAAAUUCAAUUCAUACUAUCACUUUAUAAUAUUAUUAUUAACACUAUAUUACUAUUACUAUAUUACUAUUAGUGUUUGACUCUUAAUUAUCUGUUCCUGUUGCCUGUGCUUUUCAUUGUAUUUGGACCUUACUGCAUUGUAACUUACGUUUAAUUAUAUUGUCUACAUUAAAUGAACAAAAUAAAAAGCAGAUAUAUAUUAUAUAAA